rnacentral:lncRNA from 1 species
AAGAGCACACGCGCGCUUUCCGGCGCGCCCACCAUCGUCCCCGAGCGCAGCGUCAUGCGUCGAGAGCGUGUAUUGUUGUCGUUGUUGUUGUCGUUGUUGUUACUGCUGCCGUCGCUGCCAUGACUGCGGUCAAUGAAAGACGACAUGCGCACAUCACGACCAUCGUUGUCCUUGUCCACACUGGCGGCGCGUCGUUGGGACGCGUUGUCGAGCGGGUGCGCCGAUGACGCGCUAAAUGUUGCGAGUAUGCUGGCGCGGCGCGCAAUGCCCGAGACGUCACCGUCGUAGCGCACCGACGCGAUUUUCGCAUCGCGCAAAAAGCCCUCGGCAAGGUCGAGACAUGCGGUCCAUUGCGAAAAGACCACGAUGCGCGCGGUGGAAUCGCUCGCCAGUGCCCGGGCGCAAUAGUCGACAAGGGCGCGCAUCUUGGUGCUGGGCCGCGGUCGCGCUGGAUCGGCGUCUGCGUUCCAUCGCGCGACGGCGGCGCACGCAAGACACGACGAGCCCGCGCGAGAGGAGGAUGGAACGUCGUCUGCCGUUCCCGGCGCACACAAGGCACAGAGGCGAUGACCGCACGACGCCAUGAUCCCCGGUCCGCCGCCCGCUGGAUCGUCGUCGGCCGGACGCGCGCAGCAGCCACAGCGCGAGUUCUGGGCUGUGCCGUCGCGCCACCCGCGCCCCAUGGCCAGGAGCGGAUGGUUGCACGCCUGGCGCAAACGGCCCACCCAUGCGAGUACGGCGCCAAACAUGCGCGGUUUGGCGCGGUCCUUUGGCGGCGCUGCGGCAAAGGCCCCAUAGGCGCGCAGGGCCGAACGCACCAGAUCGUUGUAAAAAACGCGCUCUGCGCUGUCCAUGCGCACGCGCAUGCUCGACGCCGUGCACGCCGGAAGAGUGUCCUUGAGCACGAUACGCUUGUCGCGCAUGAGCACAAACUGGCGUGUCCAUCUUUCAACGCGCCCGUCUGUCGAUGGCUCCGGUCCGCCGGGCGAUGUCUCCCACCAGGCGCCGUCGCGGUAGGGCGCCACGCCGACGAACCGCGCCAGGGCCUGAAGAUCGCGGCACGAGUUGUUGUACGGCGUGCCCGUCACACACCAACGCCGUGGCGCGCGCAGUGCCAACACCGCGUCGUGGAUGGCGCUCCCCGGCGUGCGGAUGCGAUGCGCCUCGUCGAGCACCACACGAAACCACAGGACGUCAAAAACGUUCGAUAGGGCCUCGCUGUCUGUUUGGCCAUGGUAUCCGCCAAGGGGACCGCGAGUGUCGCGGCUGCCAUGCUGGGGAUGGCGAUAGCAGUGGCCGCGGUGACGUGCGUGUUCGCGCUGGACAAUUUCAUAGGUUGUCAGCACAAACUGCGCCGAGUUGUGCGACGUGGACUGCUCGUCCGUUGCGUCUUUGGCGCAUUGCACGUCGUCGACCCUAGCGGGCGGUGCUCGGUCAUCAGCGGCACCGACCACCUGGCCCAUCACCAAAGGGUGACCUGGUUCUUUGCGCAAAAAGCGCGCGAGCGCGGCCUGCCUGCCGGCGCCAUGGUAGAUCAGCGCCCUCGCUCGGCUCUCUGUGUGCCGCGCGAUUUGAAGGCGCCAUUGGUCCAAGAGACAGAGUGGCGCCACGACCAGCGUGGCCGACGACGUCACACAGAUGUCGCCCACAAAGGCGUGCGCUUUGCGCGGCAGCGCCGGCGACAUGCCCCGCCUCGGCGACUCGCCGUCUGUUUCUGUCGUUGUUGUUGUCGGCGUCGAGACGACGAGGGCGAUGCAGUCGAGCGUCUUGCCCAUGCCCAUGUCGUCGGCAAGAACGCCCCCACCGGGGCAGGACGCGCGUUCACGCGACCGCAUCCAUUCAACGGCCUCGACCUGGUGCGGCAGCAAGGUCGUCGCCAGCCCAUGCAGACGCUGGACGUUGCAUGCACCGCCAUGAUCGGCACUCUCGUCAUGGGUUCGUUGGUCCAUAGUUUGGUGUUUUUUCUCGGCAGCCGUCGCCGUCCACGCGCGCCACAACCGCCACUGUUUUCCUCAUGACUGACAUGGAAAAAAAAGAAGGGACCGUCGGGACUGAUUGCAUCCGAUCGAUGCCUAUGCGACCCAAAGUCGCCAGAGGGUUGUGCGCGCGUGGCGCCAACAUCACCGACGCCGCGGAUCUCUCUCUCUUUCCCCUGUCCAUCUUUCGCGAGAGUGGGAAAAAAAAAGAAGGAUCGUGGCGC